AACCAGCUGCGUGGUACCAGUUAAGUGCGAGCCCAAGUAUUAUUUUUUUUAUCUACAAAUGAUAAUUUGAAAGUGAAUGAAUGACGUCUUAUACAUUCAUCAUUAGAUGACGAAGAUACUUGAUGUCAGGUGACUAAUAUGAAAAGGCUUUACGUCUUUUUUAUAUGAGAGAUGAUGUUAUAAAAAUUAUGUCAAUAUUGGUCGUAAUUCGACAAUUAUUUUGAUUUAUGAGAUAUUUCCACUAGAACAUGGACAAUUGUGAACUUUUUAAGUUUAGAUGUAGUUUUUGUUUGACCGUUUUAAAACAAAACUACCAUUGUUUUUGGUUUUUAAAUGUGGGUCAAAUUUAUGCGGCUGUUAAAAGAAAGAAAACAUUUCGAAGGUAAAGGCGCAACGGAUUUGUUUUUGGGCGUGGCUUUUGAGUAGCUUUUGAGGGCCUUUUCUACCUCAGUUGGGAUUUCACUUUGUGAAACAAUUAUAAAUCAUUUGGAGCACGCAAUGAGAUUCUUAUCUCGCAUUACAUUGUAAAUUUGUUUGUUUGUGAUUUUUUUUCACAAUUUCCGUAAAAUAGAACUGUCAAGGUGUAUCAAAACAGUUUCUAAGUAUUCGCAGUCAUAAACAUUACUUGACAUGACCUAGAAUAUAUACCCAGCAAAUGAAUAAGUUUUAAGUAUCUGCAAAUAAAUAGGUUGAAGUAUCUACGUAUUACAUGUUCCUGCAGCGCGGUAACAUGAGGAGAUCGUCGAUACAUAGCAUAACGGACGUUGGACCCGUCGCUUAAUUGACAUCAUUUUAUUUCUCAACUAUUAAUUAACCCGGCAGUUUUAAAUUAGUACUGCAAUUGGCAUAUUAGUGGUCACAUGCUCGUGUAUCCUUAUCAAACUAUACACAAGCGAUGAUAAUAGAUGUAGUCACAUAUUGAAUACUAAAUGGAAAAUUUUCAUUUAAAUGUCUUAAUACUUAUUGCGUCCUAGUACUGAUAUCCUUAACUUAUAUUAAUUAGAAAUAUAUUCGUAAUACUGUCAUUGCAACAUCAAAAUUAAUGAAGGUACUAAAUUUUUGUUCGUUUAUAUUUAUUUCAGUGAACCGUCACUAUAUUGUUCUUAACUUGCAAAACCUUCACGAGCAUAAUAAAAUUCAUUGCGAAACAUUUUGUUUUAAACAAAAGACGUAAGAGUGACGCGAGUACUUAAAGAUUUUUAUGACGUAAAUCACCGAAUAUCUGACACAGUUAAUUAAUUUAACUUUUAAUUUCAUGCAAUACGAACGUAAUUUCAUCAUUCGAUUAUUUAGUAUUAGAUCGUUUUAUAUUCAUCUUGUACAGCAGUAUGGUUUGCGAGCUAGUUAGACAGAAGCGCUUCGAAUGCAGGAUCGUCAAAGAACGAGUUGUAGAGUCCGGCGUCAUUGGCCGUAGUGACGUAGUUUAGGUGUUUCUCUGCCAAAUGUGAGUCACGAUAUAAAACGAGUGCUCUUAACGAAUAUCGUACAUUAAAGAGCCAACCACCGACCGGACAAGUGUUGCCAUUACAAGGAUCAAAUGUUUAUCGACGACGUCGCAGUAAUCAGUAGUCGUUUGGAUAACAUUGUGUUGGAACCGUUCAAGUUUCAAGCAAAAAUGCGUCCCAACACCGAGAAACCUCCGACGUGUGAAGCGAGCAAGAUGCCUCCAUUGCUACAUCUGACUCCAUCCACCACGACACAGAGAGGAGAUUUCAGCCCCGUCCAGGGGGUCGACAACCCCUGCCUGCUGAAACCCCAACACGACAUACCACCAACGCCCCCGCCGCAAACCGAUUCCAAACCAAACAAUUUCUUCCCGCAAAAAAUAGGAUAAAUCUUUAAUAAAACAGUUGGAAAUAACUUCAUAAUGGCAAAAUGCCAUCUGAAUACGGACUUUUAAAUAAGUCAUAUAAAAAUACUCCAUUACAAUGGCUCGGGUACCAGGAAGACUGUUCCAGAAGUCGUUUCCACUGACGAGUGGUGUUCUAGAACUUUAGAUAAUUUCUUUUUAUGACGUUGACAAUAUAAAGACGUGCUACACUGUUGACUAAUCAACCUUGUGAAUUGAUUCUAUUGUUAUUUCGCUUACAGAGGUAUGUUUAAGAAAUGUGUGUUAAAAUUUAUUAUAUAGGUGAGUAGCACACUGUGUAGUGUAUAUCCGUUGUUAACAUUAAAUUUUUAAUAAAUAAACUUGUAUAUAA